GACGGAGGAGGCUAGCGUUGUUCGGAAUUACUGGGCGUAAAGGGCGCGUAGGCGGCCUACUAAGUCGGACGUGAAAUCCCUCGGCUCAACCGAGGAACUGCGUCCGAUACUGGUGGGCUUGAAUCCGGGAGAGGGAUGUGGAAUUCCAGGUGUAGCGGUGAAAUGCGUAGAUAUCGAGAGGAACACCUGCGGCGAAGGCGGGUUGCUGGGCUGACACUGACGCUGAAGUGCGAAAGCUAGGGGAGCGAACGGG
rnacentral:rRNA from 1 species